rnacentral:rRNA from 1 species
GCUCAGUAACACGUGGACAACCUACCCUAAGGAGGGGGACAACCCCGGAAAACUGGGGAUAAUACCCCAUAGACUACAGAAGCUGGAAUGCUCUGUAAUCGAAAGGUCCGCCGCCUUAGGAUGGGUCUGCGGCUGAUUAGGUUGUUGUUGGGGUAACGGCCCAACAAGCCUGUAAUCAGUACGGGUUGUGGGAGCAAGAACCCGGAGAUGGAUUCUGAGACACGAAUCCAGGCCCUACGGGGCGCAGCAGGCGCGAAAACUUUACAAUGCGAGAAAUCGUGAUAAGGGAACCCCGAGUGCCCGUAAAUUCGGGCUGUUAAUCUGUGUAAAAAGCAGGUGGAGAAAGGGCCGGGCAAGACCGGUGCCAGCCGCCGCGGUAAUACCGGCGGCUCGAGUGGUGGCCACUAUUACUGGGCUUAAAGCGUCCGUAGCUGGAUUGUUAAGUCUCUUGGGAAAUCUACCGGCUUAACCGAUAGGCGUUCAAGGGAUACUGGCAAUCUAGGGACCGGAAGAGGUGAGAGGUACUCCAGGGGUAGGAGUGAAAUCCUGUAAUCCUUGGGGGACCACCUGUGGCGAAGGCGUCUCACCAGAACGGCUCCGACAGUGAGGGACGAAAGCUGGGGGAGCAAACCGGAUUAGAUACCCGGGUAGUCCCAGCUGUAAACGAUGUGCGUUAGGGUGUAUCGGUGACCACGAGUCACCGAGGUGCCGAAGAGAAAUCGUGAAACGUACCGCCUGGGAAGUACGGUCGCAAGGCUGAAACUUAAAGGAAUUGGCGGGGGGAG